UACGUAGGGUGCGAGCGUUGUCCGGAAUUACUGGGCGUAAAGAGCUUGUAGGCGGUUUGUCGCGUCUUCUGUGAAAACUUGGGGCUCAACCCCAAGCUUGCAGGGGAUACGGGCAGACUAGAGUACUUCAGGGGAGACUGGAAUUCCUGGUGUAAGCGGUGAAAUGCGCAGAUAUCGGGAGGAACACCGGUGGCGAAGGCGGG
rnacentral:rRNA from 1 species